rfam:Angiostrongylus costaricensis strain Costa Rica genome assembly, scaffold: ACOC_contig0002217
GGCUGGAUGGUCUAUGGGUAUGAUUCUCGCAUCGGGUGCGAGAGGUCCCGGGUUCGAAUCCCGGUUCGGCCG